GUUCGAGCGUCAUUACAACCCUCAAGCUCUGCUUGGUAUUGGGCUUCACCUCACAGUGGGCCUCAAAAUCAGUGGCAGUGCCAUCUGGCUUCAAGCAUAGUAAUUUUUCUUGCUUCCGGAGUCCAGCUGGUCACCCGCCAUCAAACCCCAAUUUUUAUCAGGUUGACCUCGGAUCAGGUAGGGAUACCCGCUGAACUUAA
rnacentral:misc_RNA from 1 species